rnacentral:rRNA from 1 species
CCGAGAUGUAGUAGCUACACGACGCAGUGCGUGUCGUCGUGACAAGGCCGGUAGGGCUGACCUGCAAGGCUUGGCAGGAGCAACCAGGUUGGUUUGAGAGGACCUUACUAGGUGGGUACCUGUGGUAAUUCUAGAGCUAAUACAUGCUAAAAACCCCGACUUCGGGAGGGGUGUAUUUAUUAGAUAAAAAACCAAUGCCCCUCGGGGCUCCUUGGUGAAUCAUAAUAACUUAACGAAUCGCAUGGCCUUGCGCCGGCGAUGGUUCAUUCAAAUUUCUGCCCUAUCAACUUUCGAUGGUAGGAUAGUGGCCUACCAUGGUGGCAACGGGUAACGGGGAAUUAGGGUUCGAUUCCGGAGAGGGAGCCUGAGAAACGGCUACCACAUCCAAGGAAGGCAGCAGGCGCGCAAAUUACCCAAUCCCGACACGGGGAGGUAGUGACAAUAAAUACUGAUAUGGGGCUCUUUUGGGUCUCGUAAUUGGAAUGAGUACAAUCUAAAUCCCUUAACGAGGAACAAUUGGAGGGCAAGUCUGGUGCCAGCAGCCGCGGUAAUUCCAGCUCCAAUAGCGUAUAUUAAAGUUGUUGCAGUUAAAAAGCUCGUAGUUGAACCUUGGGUCUGGCUGGCCGGUCCGCCUCACCGCGAGUACUGGUCCGGCUGGACCUUACCUUCUGGGGAAUCCCAUGGCCUUCACUGGCUGUGGGUGGAACCAGGACUUUUACUGUGAAAAAAUUAGAGUGUUCAAAGCAGGCCUUUGCUCGGAUACAUUAGCAUGGAAUAAUAGAAUAGGACGUGCGGUUCUAUUUUGUUGGUUUCUAGGACCGCCGUAAUGAUUAAUAGGGAUAGUCGGGGGCGUCAGUAUUCAGCUGUCAGAGGUGAAAUUCUUGGAUUUGCUGAAGACUAACUACUGCGAAAGCAUUCGCCAAGGAUGUUUUCAUUAAUCAGGGAACGAAAGUUAGGGGAUCGAAGACGAUCAGAUACCGUCGUAGUCUUAACCAUAAACUAUGCCGACUAGGGAUCGGGCGGCGUUUCUAUGAUGACCCGCUCGGCACCUUACGAGAAAUCAAAGUUUUUGGGUUCUGGGGGGAGUAUGGUCGCAAGGCUGAAACUUAAAGAAAUUGACGGAAGGGCACCACAAGGCGUGGAGCCUGCGGCUUAAUUUGACUCAACACGGGGAAACUCACCAGGUCCAGACAAAAUAAGGAUUGACAGAUUGAGAGCUCUUUCUUGAUCUUUUGGAUGGUGGUGCAUGGCCGUUCUUAGUUGGUGGAGUGAUUUGUCUGCUUAAUUGCGAUAACGAACGAGACCUCGGCCCUUAAAUAGCCCGGUCCGCGUCCGCGGGCCGCUGGCUUCUUAGGGGGACUAUCGGCUCAAGCCGAUGGAAGUGCGCGGCAAUAACAGGUCUGUGAUGCCCUUAGAUGUUCUGGGCCGCACGCGCGCUACACUGACAGGGCCAGCGAGUACAUCACCUUGGCCGAGAGGCCCGGGUAAUCUUGUUAAACCCUGUCGUGCUGGGGAUAGAGCAUUGCAAGUAUUGCUCUUCAACGAGGAAUGCCUAGUAGGCACGAGUCAUCAGCUCGUGCCGAUUACGUCCCUGCUUCUUAAGAACACACCGCCCGUCGCUACUACCGAUUGAAUGCUUUUUAAUUGCCCUUCGGACUGGCGCAGGAGGGUUGGCAACGACACCCCACGCGCCGUAACAAUGUUGGUGACCCGGAAUCCC